rnacentral:ncRNA from 1 species
UGGGCUGGCCGAAAGCCCCGGGUCCACCAAUCGGCGGGUAAGACACCC